GAUGAACGCUGACAGAAUGCUUAACACAUGCAAGUCUUUGGCGAAGCUGUGCUUGCACAGCCUAGCCAAGGCGGACGGGUGAGUGACGCGUAAGGAACUUGCCCUGCAGUCAGGGAUAACAGACGGAAACGACUGAUAAGACCUGGUAAAGUCAGGCGGACUCAUGUCCAGCCUGAUGAAAAGAGAUGCUGCAGGAGAGCCUUGCGUCCUAUUAGCUUGUUGGUGGGGUAACGGCCCACCAAGGCGAUGAUAGGUAGCCGGCCUGAGAGGGUGGACGGCCACAAGGGGACUGAGAUACGGCCCUUACUCCUACGGGAGGCAGCAGUGGGGAAUAUUGGACAAUGGGGGCAACCCUGAUCCAGCAAUUCUGUGUGCACGAUGAAGGUUUUCGGAUUGUAAAGUGCUUUCAGCAGGGAAGAAAAAAAUGACGGUACCUGCAGAAGAAGCGACGGCUAAAUACGUG
rnacentral:rRNA from 1 species